rfam:Schistosoma haematobium scaffold191_28, whole genome shotgun sequence.
AUUCAUUUGACGAGUCCCAAAUAGGACGAAACGCAUCACGGAU